UACGUAGGGUGUAAGCGUUGUCCGGAAUUAUUGGGCGUAAAGAGCUCGUAGGCGGUCUGUCGCGUCUGCUGUGAAAACUCAGGGCUUAACCCUGAGCUUGCAGUGGGUACGGGCAGACUAGAGUGCGGUAGGGGAGACUGGAAUUCCUGGUGUAGCGGUGAAAUGCGCAGAUAUCAGGAGGAACACCGGUGGCGAAGGCGGGUCUCUGGGCCGUAACUGACGCUGAGGAGCGAAAGCCAGGGGAGCAAACGGG
rnacentral:rRNA from 1 species